AGGCGCUGAAACAGACACGUUAUUUCUUUCAGCUCCUGCUCAAAGAUGGAUCUGCAAAUCUCAGUUGUUCUUCUGUUUAUUCUGGUCGCUGCGGGUACAAAGACGAGCAGUGCUUGUAGUGACCCUGAGCACAAACACGGAUCAUCACAGCACGCUCACUUCUGUUACGAGUGCACGGGUUUGAAUUACUGCGUGGACACACUGGCGAUUUGUCCCACUGGAUUUUCCAAGUGCAUGAGUUCAACAAUCUUAAUGGACAUCGGUGGAACUAGUUUGAAAAUUAAGAAAAAAGAAUGUAUUGAUGAAUGUCAGAAUGGUUCCAUUAACUACGGCAUAUCAAAGACGGCUUAUUCCUGCUGCGACACCGACUUCUGUAACGCCAGAGAUGCUCCAGAUCCCAGACUGAACACUCCCAAUGGAAGGACGUGUUAUUAUUGUGAUGGACAGAGCUGCUCAAACACAGUGAGCUGUUCCGGGAGUGAAGACAGCUGCAUUACAGCGACAGUGACACAAAGAGGCCUGUCAAUGCUUUUAAAAGGCUGUAUCACUAAAUCUAUUUGUGGUCUCCUAAAGUGCUCUUUUAUUCAGGACCUCUCAUGUUGUGAGGGGAACCUAUGUAACGGUGAUAAGAGCGACACACAGGCCGUCACCCAGGGCUUCAUAUAUGACGGUGAUAAGAGUCUCAACCAGAGCGUCACCCAGAGCUUCAUCCAGAGCUUCAUGUAUCACAGUGCAAAGAGCGUCACCCAGAGAACCCCGUAUAACGGCGAUAAGAGCGCCACCCACAGCUCCAUCAUGUAUAAGGGUGCUAAGAGUGACACCCAGAGAAUGACCUAUAACGGUGCUAAGAGCGUCACCCACAGCUUCCUGUUCUCUGCUCUCCUACUUCCUGCUGCACUGAUUCUACAAUGAGACACGCCAUACUGCUGGAAAAUAAAUCUCAUCUGUUGGCUAUUCAUGAGUUUGUAAAACUUUUCCUGUUUAGUUACAGAUCACAAAGGCAAAAAGAGAAAUAAUUGGAUAUGAUGAUCAAUAAAAAAUUUCACAAAUGC